GAGAUAAUAAAAACCAAAUAAAUAUAUUCGACGUUUUUUGCGUCAUUCUUCUGAAAAUAUAUAAAUAAAAAAAGAAGAUGUGGUAUGAUUGCAAAUAACACAAUUCUCCACAAAUGACCAAUUGACACAGGAAAUUAUUAACUAUGAGUCAAAGUACGGCCUACAACAUUGAGCAAAUCCCAUACCGCAUAAACAACUACAAAAGGUCCCGAAAGGACAAAUGUAACACAAUUAAAACUAGAAAAUAA
rnacentral:lncRNA from 1 species